rnacentral:sRNA from 1 species
AUAUAAGAUGGACAUAUAUAACUAUUUAUCAAGAAAGCGCACGUAGACUGAUUAUAUCACCGUGUCUGUUUUUGCGCAAUAUAAAAAGAACCUGGCCUAAUUGGCCAGGUUCUUUCUUA